AUUCUUAAUAGGAAUGUAUUCCAAAAAGAAAUAUGAAGAAAAUAGUAAGUAAUAGAAAAACAUAGCAUUUUUAUAAUACCACUGAAUCAAUUCUUUGACCGAUAACAAUAUCAUGUUGUCUGAAGGCAGAUAUUUUAUGCUCUUCUCUCUCUUGGCUACCCGAGUGUUCUAUGGCUUAUGCUGAGUCCAUUUGAUGAACUGAAAAAAUACUGUAGUUGCCUCCAGCCUUGCAUACCUCUACUGAUUUGCAUGUAGCCAAAGCACAGCCCACCUCUGUGAAGAUUUCAUGAAAGGAUGUUUACACUAUGUGCAGAAGCCAUUCUCAGUGAGGAUACAGCAUCAACAUGAGUGUUCUCCCUGAACUCCUAGCGCUGCUACUGCUCUGGUUUUCAGGUAUGAGAUGUGAUAUCCAGAUGAACCAGACUCCAUCCACUCUAUCUGUAUCUAUUGGAGAACGAGUAAUUAUAAAUUGCCAUGCCAGUGAGAACAUUAAUAGUUGGUUAUCCUGGCACCAGCAGAAACCAGGGAAUGCUCCACAACUACUCAUCUAUAAGGCAUCCAACUACCAUACUUGGGUUCCAUCAAGGUUCAGUGGCAGUGGAUCUGGAACAGAUUACUCUCUCAGCAGCAGCAGCCUCCAGCCUGAAGACAUUGCUACUUACUACUCUGUACAGGCUAAGAGUCUUCCUCCCACAGUGAUAAAAGUGAUAACACAAACCAAGUGGGUCAACAUUGUAAGUCUGUUCUGCAUCAGUUGUCGCACGUAG